AUUGAACGCUGGCGGCAUGCCUUACACAUGCAAGUCGAACGGCAGCGGGGACUUCGGUCCGCCGGCGAGUGGCGAACGGGUGAGUAAUGUAUCGGAACGUACCUUUCAGUGGGGGAUAACGUAGCGAAAGUUACGCUAAUACCGCAUAUUCUCUGAGGAGGAAAGCAGGGGACCUUCGGGCCUUGUGCUGAUGGAGCGGCCGAUAACAGAUCAGCUAGUUGGUGAGGUAAAGGCUCACCAAGGCGACGAUCUGUAGCGGGUCUGAGAGGAUGAGCCGCCGCACUGGGACGGAGACACGGCCCAGACUCCUGCGGGAGGCAGCGGUGGGGAAUUUUGGACAAUGGGCGCAAGCCUGAUCCAGCCAUGCCGCGGGAGUGAAGAAGGCCUUCGGGUUGUAAAGCUCUUUCGGACGGGAAGAAAUUGGUGGGGCUAAUAUCCCCAUCGGAUGACGGUACCGUAAUAAGAAGCACCGGCUAACUACGUGCCAGCCGCCGCAGUAAUAC
rnacentral:rRNA from 1 species